GUGCAGCAGGCGAGAAACCUCCGCAAUACACGAAAGUGUGACGGGGCCAUCCCGAGUGCCGUCCGCUGAGGACGGCUUUUUCCCCAGUGUACACAGCUGGGGGAAUAAGGAGAGGGCAAGCCUGGUGUCAGCCGCCGCGGUAAUACCAGCUCUCCGAGUGGUGGGGACGCUUAUUGGGCCUAAAGCAUCCGUAGCCGGCUGGGCAAGUCCUCCGUUAAAAUCCAACGAUUCAAAUCGUUGGCUGCGGGGGAUACUGUCCAGCUUGGGGGC
rnacentral:rRNA from 1 species